UUAACUACAGGUUAUUACUGACGAGUGCUUUCGGGAUACUCUUUAACGAUUCAAUUUAAAUAAAUUAUUUAUUUGAAAAGUUAGAUAUUUUUAUUUUUUAUGUAUUGAUUCCAUAUAUUUUCAUAAAAGUUUACUAUUUAAUAUCCUGAAAAGAGUGUUCCGAAAACACUCGUUAUGCGUCAUUUAAAAAUUUGAAAAUACACAUGACUAUGCACGAGAUUUUCUACUACUAUCGCUCUUUGGCGAUCUCCUUAGUUUUUACUACUAUUGUUGUUUUGAUCACUUCACUUUUUUUUUUAAACUCGUGUACACGUUAUUUUGGGACAGAAACUUGUUAAUUACUCUAACAACUAAAAUAUUUCAUGUGAUCAUCAAUCAUGCAUGUCACUUUUAUACAAGUAUUCAUUCAUAUAUUAUCAUUCCCUUAAAUGACUAUGAUUGAAAAUUAAACCAUAUUAUAUAUAUAGGGGUGUGAUGGAUCAAUUCUGCUGGAUGAUACCCCUAACUUCAUAGGUGAAAAGAGUGCCUCAGGAAAUGUUGAUUCAGUUAAAGGC
rnacentral:lncRNA from 1 species